rnacentral:rRNA from 1 species
GAUGAACGCUGUCGGCAUGCUUAACACAUGUAAGUCGGACGGGCAGUGGUGUUUCCAGUGGCUGACGGGCGAGUAACGCGUAAGAACCUGCCCUUGGGCGGGGACCAACACCUGGAAACGGCUGCUACUACCCCGUAGCCGGAGGAGCACAAGGAGCAAUCCGCGCGAGGAGGGGCUGGCGUUUGAUUCUCUAGUUGGUGAGUCAAUACCUUACCAAGGCGCUGAUCAGGAGCUGGUCCGAGAGGCUGAUCAGCCAGACUGGGACUGAGACACGGCGCCGGCUACUGCGGCAGGAGGCAGUGGGGAAUUUACUGGAAUGGGCGAAAGCCUGACAGGGCACUGCCGCGUGGAGGUAGACGGACCACGGGUCGUGAACUGCUUCUUCCGGAGACGAAGCAAUGACGGUAUCUGGGGAAUAAGCUGCCGCUGACUCGGUG